UGACGAGUGGCGGACGGGUGAGUAAUGCUUGGGAAUCUAGCUUAUGGAGGGGGAUAACUACGGGAAACUGUAGCUAAUACCGCGUAAUAUCGAAAGAUUAAAGUGUGGGACCUUCGGGCCACAUGCCAUAGGAUGAGCCCAAGUGGGAUUAGGUAGUUGGUGAGGUAAAGGCUCACCAAGCCGACGAUCUCUAGCUGGUCUGAGAGGAUGACCAGCCACACUGGGACUGAGACACGGCCCAG
rnacentral:rRNA from 1 species